rnacentral:rRNA from 1 species
CCUACGGGAGGCAGCAGUGGGGAAUUUUGGACAAUGGGCGAAAGCCUGAUCCAGCAAUGCCGCGUGAGUGAAGAAGGCCUUCGGGUUGUAAAGCUCUUUUGUCAGGGAAGAAACGGUGAAAGCUAAUAUCUUUUGCUAAUGACGGUACCUGAAGAAUAAGCACCGGCUAACUACGUGCCAGCAGCCGCGGUAAUACGUAGGGUGCAAGCGUUAAUCGGAAUUACUGGGCGUAAAGCGUGCGCAGGCGGUUUUGUAAGUCUGAUGUGAAAUCCCCGGGCUCAACCUGGGAAUUGCAUUGGAGACUGCAAGGCUAGAAUCUGGCAGAGGGGGGUAGAAUUCCACGUGUAGCAGUGAAAUGCGUAGAUAUGUGGAGGAACACCGAUGGCGAAGGCAGCCCCCUGGGUCAAGAUUGACGCUCAUGCACGAAAGCGUGGGGAGCAAACAGGAUUAGAUACCCUGGUAGUCCACGCCCUAAACGAUGUCUACUAGUUGUCGGGUCUUAAUUGACUUGGUAACGCAGCUAACGCGUGAAGUAGACCGCCUGGGGAGUACGGUCGCAAGAUUAAAACCUCAAAGGAAUUGACGG